rnacentral:rRNA from 1 species
GUGCAGCAGGCGAGAAAACUUCACACUGUGCGAAAGCACGAUGAGGGAAUCCCAAGUGCUUGCACGUAAGUGUAAGCUGUUUCUCUGUCUAAAACGCAGAGAGAGUAAGGGCUGGGUAAGACGGGUGCCAGCCGCCGCGGUAAUACCUGCAGCUCAAGUGGUGACCGUUAUUAUUGGGCCUAAAACGUCCGUAGCCGGUUUAAUAAAUGCCUGGGUAAAUUGUGUAGCUUAACUAUACGAAUUCCGGGUAGACUGUUAAACUUGAGACCGGGAGAAGUUAGAGGUACUCCUGGGGUAGAGGUGAAAUUCUGUAAUCCUAGGGGGACCACCAGUGGCGAAGGCGUCUAACUAGAACGGGUCUGACGGUGAGGGACGAAGCCCUGGGGCGCAAACGGGGAUUAGAUACCCGCGUAGU